CAUGGGUUCAAGAUGCAGGUGUUGGCAGGCACAUCUGCGACGCUAGAGUUGGGGCACUCUGCUCCAGUCUGACCUCCCCUGAACUGAUCACAUCUGCAACGAUCUUAUUCCUGAGUAAGGUCCCACCCAGCCUGUGGUCCUGGGGUGCUACCUAGGACUUCACCCUAGGUCCACACAUGAGAGAGGCUACUGCCACUCUUCAAAGCGCCGAGAAGUGGCUGUCCAGCCCCGAAGGCCAUGGCCAUCCAUCUUGCGGGCUGCAACGCCAAGAAGCGGGGUCCCCAUGGCCAAUGCCUGCGCUCCCCUGGGUCAGGAGCUCCUCGCCCUUCCAGCAGAAUUUCCUGGCUGUGGCCUCGGAUGCUUCCCCCGCUCCCCCGCUCCCCCCCCAGGCUGCCCUGGGCCUGCUUCCCUCCCACACCUGGGUGGGGGAGAUGAAAGGGCAGCUCCAGGCCCCACCGCCCAUGCCCAGGCCGACCCUGACACAGGUCAAAUUUGACUUCACAGUGGACCAGGGAGCCGUUUAGCAAGACGGUAAAAGAAUAAGCUAUGGCCUUGUCUUACCCAGGCUUCCAAACAGCUGACCUGCAAAACUGAGAGGAAAGGACACCCAGCUUA